rnacentral:rRNA from 1 species
ACAGAGGGUGCGAGCGUUAAUCGGAAUUACUGGGCGUAAAGCGUGCGCAGGCGGCUUUGUAAGACAGAUGUGAAAUCCCCGGGCUCAACCUGGGAACUGCAUUUGUGACUGCAAGGCUAGAGUGCGUCAGGGGGAGGUGGAAUUCUGCGUGUAGCAGUGAAAUGCGUAGAGAUGCGGAGGAGCACCGAUGGCGAAGGCAGCCUCCUGGGCCAGUACUGACGCUCAUGCACGAAAGCGUGGGGAGCAAACAG